UACGUAGGGUGCAAGCGUUAAUCGGAAUUACUGGGCGUAAAGCGUGCGCAGGCGGUUGGUGCAAGACAGAUGUGAAAGUCCCCGGGCUUAAACCCUGGGGAACUGCAUUUGUAGACCUGCGACGGCUAGAGUGCGGGCAGACGGGGGAUGGAAUUCCGAGUGUAGCAGUGAAAAUGCGGUAGAGAUGGAUGGAGGAAUACCGAG
rnacentral:rRNA from 1 species